rnacentral:tRNA from 1 species
GCACCCGUAGCUCAGCUGGAUAGAGCACUCGGCUACGAACCGAGCGGUCGGGAGUUCGAAUCUCUCCGGGUGCGCCA